GCGGCAGCAAUCGGUGGGUUGAGACGGCCUCGCUCGGCGCUUCAGGGACGUGCGCCGGCCCUCAGCGUAGUUGUAGCAUCAGUCCUCUCCACCCUUUUGGUUUUGUUCUAUUACUCUUUUUUUAAGUCUUCUUUUCUCUCACGUGCGCUUCUUCCGGACUCGUGACUGGCGCUGUAGUGCUGGAUGAGCUUUUGUCGUGUAGCUCAUUCACGAGCAGAACCCAACUGGUUUUGUGUAGUAAACAGAAUCGCGUCGUUCCCUACAGGCUGUUGGUGGGGUUUGCAGUCACUGAUGGGGCCUCCUUAGUGCUCAGUAGUACAGAGUCAGUAACAGCCAGUCAAUUUUGUAUACCCAUGCAAAUAGCCAGCAACCACUGUGUUUAAAAUCGAGGAGGUCUGCUUGAAUUCAGGGAUCCAGGUGCCCAAAACACUGUCAGCUUGAUGUUUUAGCUGUUUUCCAUAUUCAGUGUGUCAUCAAACAUGGAUUUUUUUGUCAUUUUCAGGCUGUGAUAUUUUACUUCUAGAGUUUGGUAUUCGCUAUGCAGAAUUCUCCAGAAGUACAAAAGGAGAAGCCAUCAAGUAGGCAAGGUGAUGAUUCUUAGAGAUUUUAAACAAUAGAGAUUUAGAUUACUAUGAUUAAUGUGAAAGUUGACUGCUCAAAUGAAACAAUCAGUUCUUCUGUCUUUGGAUAGAAUUUUAAAUACUGAACAUGAGUCAUCAGUCAUGUGAGGGUUUAAAUGAGCACUUAGCUUUAUGCAAUUGGAGUGAUUAGUUCUAUUCAAGUGAAUAGUACUGUGCAGAGCAUGUAAGAUUUAGCACAUCUCAAACCCCUGAUUGUGCAAAGCCUCAACAUGUGACCUGAGAAGUGUUUGCUUUUGUUUUUUAAAGCUGUUUUCUAAGAAAUGGUGUUUAUGCAGUCACACACGUCUGUCAUCCACUCCUUCCCCAUCACCGAGGGAAGGGGAAUGGUAGCCAACGUGUUGGCUACUUUCAGGUAGUUAUCCCAGGAGAAUGGGAAUUUGAAAAACAAUUUUGUUCGCACAUAUUUGGUGAAAAUAGGUGACUCUGUGUUAGAGAUAUUUUACUUGCAUAAUGAAAGCAGAUGCAGGGGCUGAAGUAUUAGGAAUCACAAAACCUACAUUCAGAUGAAAAGUAGAACAUAGUACCUACUUAACCCCAUCAAAAGAGUUCAGCCAGCACUUACAAUUGAGCCAAAGGUGAGCCACUAGCAGCUGAGGUUUGUUUGGUGUUCAGGAUGCUUUGAAAGGAAGAGAGAACAAAUCUAAAUCUGUUCCUUUUGUUGGUGUUAUCUGAGGUCUGCUAAUGAGGAACUGUGUAUUAACACCAAAUGCACUGUUAGUCAAAUGGCUGCUUGUGUGAAGCUUAUUUUUUGUAAGCGUUCUUUCUUGGCUCUUGCAUAAUUUAUCAUCAUUGGGAUAUUAGUCUGCUGUACAUUCUACUUAGAACUAAAAAACACUCACCCUAAAAGAACCUGUUUGUAAAGCUUGUAAUAUGCUUACGGAUAUAUAACUUUCUGUUCGAAAAAUAAGAAAUUAAUCAGCAUAUAUUGAUAGCACAGUCUAGGGAAAAAAGAAGAAAAGAUAAAGGUUAAGUACUUUGUGCUGCUUGUUUCCUUUGCUUUCUGGCAUAAUAAUAGGAGCCACAGUGCAUUUAGCAAGUAGUUACUGCAGGAAUUAGAUUGUACUGUGGGAAGUGAGAAUUAGAUAAUAAAUAUCACUGUACUCAAAAGUACCAAGAAGAAAAGGGCAGAGUGAGGAGAAGAAAUCAGGCAAAAUACUAUACUUUUGAAAAAAAUCCAAGCACUACAGUAUCCCUACUUACUAAGCACAGAACAAUUCAAAAUAGUAACAUAUCUCUAACUUAAAAAAAACAAUAAUAUAUUAAGAACCUUCAAGUACCAUCUGCUGACUCUUGUUCUCUGUUCCCUUAUACUUCUGAAAUAAUUGCACCUGUGGAAUGUGAGGCACUUGUUUGGCAGCUUCUUUUACCUGACUUUGCACAGGUGUGGAGAGGUAUACAGUAUGCAGAACUUAAUAAUCAGAGCCACAGAAAUUAAAGUGUAUUUGCUGAUAAGCUACUUUCACCAGAAAGUGCAUUUCAAGAGAAAGUCAGAAGGCGUGAACACAUCUUGCCAAGGCAUUUUUAUUGUUUCCUAAUGGGAGGAAAAAUAUUUCGAUUUGGCUGCAGUCUAAGUCCUUGAUUUCACAGUGAUUCUACACUGUACUAACAGAUGAUAUCUUGUGUAUUUUUAUACCAACCAGUAUCCUACUGCUACUAAAUCUUUUACAUGGAAGUUUAGUGAGGGUUUAAGGAAUUGAAAAUCUCUUGAUGACUGACCUCCUCUACUGCUGCUGCUUCGAUCUCACUGUAGGCUGUAGCAUAAGAUGUUGCUGAGACCUGCUGUUGUCCCAUGGACCUCACUGCACACUCUCUUCUUCAGUUUGCCAGAAAAAUCUACCUGCAGGGUACAGCACGGUAGGGGAAUACAUCUUGUCUCCAGUUGUUUCCUUGCCUGUUUCCUUCACACAAACAUUAUGUAGGUUCACAUGGCUCCACGGGGAAGAGAAAAAGAAGACAAGGGCAAGGGGUUGGCAAAGAUGGAGCCAGCAGAGCCAGUGAGCUGGCCUGAUCAGUGAGCAGCAUCACAUCUGUUUGUUAGGAGAGCUUGUAGAAAACUGCAGUGCACAAGCUAGGUGUCAAUCCACUGACCAGUCUACUGAUGCCAUGAGGCUGAGUAGUGCAUCUCAAAGACUCCAAAUUCAGACAGAUUGGUUACUUGCAUGUUAAUGGAGAUUUUGUUUGUUUUCCUUGUGCAGGAGUCAAAUCAACUGAAAAUUUUAGCAUUUUGCAUUUUUAACACCAUUUUAUGUAGUUUCAAGUAUCAAGUGAACUGGACUUCAAUGUGAUAUCAUGAUGUUCAUUCUCUGCUUGGUCCUUGUCAUCUUCUAAGUCAAAUUCACACGUAAGUUCAAAAGUUUUUACUUCAAACAGCAAAAUCACCACUGUAAGCUUCAGAAGGCUUUUGUCUUGUACAGUUUUGUCUUGUACAUUUUGAAGAUCAGCAGGAUCCUUCACUGAGAAGUAUGAAGUACAUCAGGAGAGAAGAUCAUGUUCAUCGUGUUCAGCAGCUGAAGAGUUUUCUAAACUCAAUUAGUGCAAGAAUGCUGUGACCAAUGGAAAAAUGUUUGAUGCUUGCCAGAAAGCAAAUCUCCCCAGCUCUUGAAAAUAGCGUUCUGAAAACAAGGCACACUGGUGUGUUAUCUGGACACUGCAUGCUGCCAGGAAUUUUGAAAUGGUCAAACCAGCAGAGUCCCUGCCUGGUAGACAACUGAUGGAGUGAUGGUUACCUGUUAUCAGCUGUAGCUAUUGAGAUGAGACAGUUCAGUUCUUGUUGUCUUGUCAUGUGUUAAUAGCUGAUGCAUUUUAAGUCAUCUCUCCACCCAGUGUUAACGCCUUGUUCAGGGAGGGCAGUAAAGAACUCUCAGGAUCUGGUAUCUCCAAGUGUCUCUUCUGUAUUUCUUUCCUGUUCCCAAGGGAAUCCAGUCUGUAAUAUCUACCCACUAGUAGAACUACAAGCAGUUCACAGAAACACAAACACAAGCAGUAUUACAACACACGUAUUAAAAUGACAUUUUUUUACAAGAUCAAAAACAAAUAGAAAAAAUAAAAGUGCUGUGGGAAAGCAUUUACCAAAUAAAAAUGUCUUUGGAGGCCUGAUUGUAUGUGGGUCUGUGAAUAACACUCAGGAGACUAUAAACUUUAGACAAACCAGAUGGUUAGACAGCAAUCCAGAUGGUUUUAUUUAUGCAGACAGAGUUCACAUUUAGGGAGGUGCUUUGUUCCUCUAGAGAAGGUUUCACACACAGAGUAGAAUUAUAUAUAUGGCGUAUGGUGAUAGACUGAAACAUUCAUAAAAAUUUAAGUCUCAUUGAGUAGUCUGUUGUCCUUUCAAUACAGAUAUCAUCGUAAUUACAUAACUGACAUGCUUGUUGGCUGCUCUUGCACAUGAUGUUGCUUCUUUUUACUGCAUUAGUAUCCAAGGGUUUUAGUGAGGAUUAUGACCAGUUUAUUUCGUUAUGUGUUAUAAAGUUGUAUUGGAAGAUGCAGUUCUUGUUUACAAGAGUUGAGAGUCUAAGGACAAUGAAAACACAAAAAUUGGCAAGCUAUGGAGGAAAGUAAGAGGGAGGUAACUGGAUAUAACUGAAAAAAUCUGAUAAGUAUCAGCUAGGAAAUCUCUCUCCUUUUUGGUAUCAGUGAAGGAGAUAGAAAAACAGCCUUGACACUUAUCAAAGUGACCUUCUAAUCCUUUAGCUUUAGUUUUACCCUAAGCCCAGAUAGUACAUCUAUCUUAACCACAAAGUCAGUGCAUGCCUACUUUUCAUAUUCUUCUAUGUGCAUAAAAUGGUGAUUUUAUACAACACAUGCCAUUCUCUGAUAAAAUGACAAACAGUAGUUAGCUUCCAGAUGAUUUCAAUACAAAGUGAAGAUCUUGGCUUAAAAACCUAAUGUUAGUUCUACUGCUCAGGCAGUAGCCUCCUGUAACACAGCAAUCUGGUGAUCUAUAAUGUCUUAUCAAACUCUUUUUUGAAUGUCUAAUCUAUCAUACCUAAUUUCACUGGAGUUUUUGGACCACUUUUUUUCUUUCUGAUUAUAUUACCUAUAGCUUCUUAUUGAUGUUUGGAAAAAGUAUUUCUGGAAGGGGUAUUUCUACAGUCACAUGUUGGUGUGGCAUGCAGUGACAUACAUUGUGAUUAGCAGAUUAAGAAGUAUGAAAUUGCUUUGGUGAUUUCCUUAAUGUACUUGAAAAGUAACAGGUGCCAGAGCUUUUGUUAUCCAUUCCAUAUGACCUAAAUUGUCUUUAUAUCUCUUCAACAGAGAUGUGUUCUGAACUUCUUCCUAUUAAACAUUCUGUCCAAUUUUGAUUUUGCUGAAAUUUCAUUUUAUCCAUAUUCUUGUUCAGCUACUGACAUUAUAAAAGUGUUCUUUUAGGUUUAUAACUUCUCAGUAGUGUUGUGGAGAUUCAGAAAAUAAGAGUAGGUUUCUUUUUUACUGGUAGCAAAGGUAUCAAGCUCACAUAAACAUUACAAAGACUACCUCAUAAUUUUAUUGGAACAUAUCGUCUUUCCAAAAUAAAUACCAUAGGAAAUGAUAGCAUCAGCAUUGCAUUUGUAAGUCACAACAGAAAGAAAAUCUGUAUUUUGAUGAUACCAAGCUGGGAGGUGCUGUUGAGUCUCUGAAAAGAGGAUAGACUUUGAAAGUGGACCAAGAUACGUCAGCAGGUGUGUGAAACACUUAGCAACAAAGAUACAAAGCAAUUAGCAAUAAUUCUCACAUCCUAAUCAUCACUGCACGUGGUCUUACACAGUAUAAGAUGCUGUUGAUGCAAUUUUGUGAAGUCUUGUUAAGUAGAGUUUGGGGAGUAUUUUAAGUAUUGAAAUAAAACUAUGCUGAUUUCAUGUAGCAUGUAAA